GAUUCUGUAUUCCCCUUCCCCUGAUACGAUCACAUGUAAUAGAUGCAUGUGAAGCUAUGGGAAGAAAUGAGGUGGUUGAGAACAAGAGUGAAUGGUGAGAAGGAACCAGGACUGACCCCUGUAGGACACUAACAGUCAGAGGCCAGAGACAGGAGGCACAGUCAGCAAGGGAAGCCAAGAAGAAGUGAUGAAAGAAGUAGACAGAAAAUCAGGAGAACAGGACUCAGAAGUCAAGAGACAAAAGUGCUUCAGCCUGGAGGGGGAGGCCAGCAGGAUCAAAUGCUGCUGAGAGAAUUCACAUAUGAAGCUGACUAAAAGAUACACAAUGGACUUGGCAACAGAAAGAUCAUUGGUGACUUUAGCAAACUUCCGUGUCCAUGAUCAGGUUUUGCAUACCAGUGAAACUAGUGACAUCGGCUGGUCUAAAGGACCCCACAAGCAGUUGACUCAAAGAACAAAGUUUCCAAGUUCUGAUUUUCAUACCCCUUCCUCGAUCAAUCAACAACCACAAUUUUCUAGCCCCUUGCCCUUCAUAAUUCUCUUAAAAACCCCAGCCCAGAACCCCUCAGAGAUGGAUUCGAGGGUCUCCUUCCAUCUCCUUGCUCAGCCACCCUACAAUCAUUAAAGGCUUUCUCUGCUGCAAACCUUGCUGUCUUGGUAUAUUGGUAUGUCACUUCACAGUGGGCAUACAAAACUGUUGGUCCUGUAACAGUAUACAUCUAUUGGUUUGGGAUGCCAGCAUUCCUUACCCACUUCUGGUAACAUCACCUCUUUCUCUUAGAGAAUCCUCUGACAUCUUGUGGUCUUCAAAAGGCCUCCCAAUCACAGUACUUACCACCCCCUGGCCAAAGACUGAACAUGACUCUACUGACCAAUCACAUUGCCCCAUCUCCUUGGCUACAGUGACUUGCAUGUGACCAGUAAGGCCAAUCAGAGACUCUCUCUAAAAAUCUUUACUUGUAUAUGCUGAGAAAUGUUUUCUUUGGCCUUUGGUUUUUUGGAAUGAUGUAACUCUGAGGCUGUCUGUAGCUAUGAUAUUCCCUUUCUCAGUCACCACUAUCACCAGUUUCUUAACAUGUGUUCGUGUGUUGGAUGGGGGCAUAGACUUACAGACAAUAGAUGACAGAUACAGUGACAGAGAAGAACAGGGGCUUAUGGGAGAUUAUCUGCUCAAGACAAGUGAUGAACUAGAAAGGCCAAACUCUCUUUGAAGGGCAAUUAAGGGACUCAGUGUAUGUGAUGGGGAAGAACUGCAUUGAAUAAGAUGUGUAUGCCUGGCAUUUUAAGUCAAACUUUAAUUCCAGUGAAGGUUUAAACCAUACCUGGCCUCUAUUCCUAUUUGGUUGAAAAAAAUCUGCACAUAAGUGAACCCACAGAGUUCAAACCCAAGUUGUUUAAUGACUGUACAUAUAUAUGUUUAUUCAAGAAAGUACAAUUGUAAUUUACUGAACCUAAACAGUGCAGCUGGCCAUCUUGGAAUGAAUGGCAUGGAUGCCCUUCUCUUUUUGGGCUCCCUAGGACAUCACACUCUUGAUUUUCCUCUUACCUCAGUUGCUUGCUUCUUCCUCGUCUUCUUUGCUGGACUCUUCUUUUCUCUGAUCUACUGAUAUUGCACAGCCUCCCAACAAGUCUCCCCAUUAGUACUCGGUCCCUCAGCCCAAGAUGAUUCUUUAAAUCACAAAUCUUUUUUUUUUUUUUUUUUGAGACAGAGUCUUGCUCUGUUGCCCAGGCUGGAGUGCAGUGGUACAAUCUUGGCUCCCUGCAAUCUCCACAGCCUGGGUUCAAGCGAUUCUCAGCCUUCAGAGUAGCUGGGACUACAGGCGACCACCACCAUGCCCAGGUAAUUUUUGUAAUUUUAGUAGAGGCGGGGUUUCACCAUGUUGGCCAGGCUGGUCUCGAACUCCUGACCUCAAAUGAUUCACCCACCUCGGCCUCCCAAAGUUCUGAGAUUACAGGCGUGAGCCACUGCACUGGGCCUAAAUCACAAAUCUUUUAUGUUAAUCCAAAUCUGAACUUGAUGUCCUCUCCCUACCCCGACACCUCUGCUUCCCUAGUGUUUUCCAUCUCAUAAUGGCAACUAUGUUCCUCCAGCUGUCUUGGCCAAAAUCCUUGUCAUUUUGACUCCGGUCUCUUAUUCAUCAGAAAAUCCUAUCACUUCCAACCUCUAAAUAUAUCUAGAAUUUGAACACGUGUCACUGCUGUGAUGACGGCCAUGAUCAUUCACUACCUGUGUUAUUACAAUAGCCCCUCCUUACUAAUCUGUUUCUGCCCUUGCCCAUCACCCUCUAUUCUCAAAGGACAGUACUUAAAAUUUAAGUCACAUCAGAUCACCACUCUGCUCCAAACUCUGCAUUAGUUCUCCCUUCCUCCUAGAAUGAGAGCCAAAGUCCUCACCACAGUCCUGAGGGCUAUACAUGAUCUGCCCCUUGCCUGUCUCACCUCAGUGACUGCCAUGUACCUUUGGCUCAUUCUGCUCCUGACCACACUAGCCGUUAUACCACUCAACACACCAUGCAUGCUUCUUUCUUCUAUCUGCCUGGAAUAUUCUUCUCCCAGAUAUCUGCUUGGCUAACUCCAUUCAACUGUUUAUAAAAAUCUCAUCUUUUCAAUGAGGAUAACCCCUUCCUACCUACUCUUGAUCCCCUUUACUCCACUUCUCUUCCCCUCCCUCUGAUAGCACACACUGCUUUCUGACAUACUGUAUUUAUUAAUUUCAUUCAUUGUCUGUCUUUUCCAGUUACAACAUAGGUUUCAUGAGGUCAAGGACUUUUUUUUUUUUUUUUCCAUGACGGUGUCUUGCUCUGUCUCCCAGGCUGGAGUGCAGUGGUAUGAUCUCGGCUUACUGCAAGCUCCGCCUCCCAGGUUUACGCCAUUCUCCUGCCUUGGCUUCCUGAGUAACUGGGGCUACAGGCAACCACCACCACGCCCGGCUAAUUUUUUGUAUUUUUAGUAGAGAUACUAAUGGGGUUUCACUGCGUUAGCCAGGAUGGUCUCAAUCUCCUGACCUUAUGAUCCACCUGCCUCAGCCU
rnacentral:lncRNA from 1 species